rnacentral:misc_RNA from 1 species
AAUUAGAAAUGGAGAAUAUUUGAAAACUAUAGGCUACAACCAAGAUACAUGAAGAGGAAAUAGGACAAGAUAGGCAUGUGAUAAGUUCACUGCCAAUGUUGUCCAAAUAUGUCCAAGGAAUGCCGGCAAAUAAUUAAAUUAAACUAAACUUCACAUAAUAGAGGGAAAACACAAAUAGUUGAAUUAACUAAAUAAUAAAACUAUCAGUGAUUAAAUGGGGUGGAUUUAAGUCUAAUUACACAGACAAAGUGAUGAUAAAGAAGCAACUAUUAAUCAAAGUGGAGCCAACCGUUAUUUAAUGUAUCAAUCUCUUUUAAAAAAAAAUUAA